rnacentral:tRNA from 1 species
GGGGCUGUGACUCAGUGGAGGAACCUUUGCUUUACAUUCAAAAGGUCCCAGGUUCAAUUCCCGGCAUCUCUG